rnacentral:rRNA from 1 species
CGAAGAACCUUACCCAGGCUUGAACAGCGAGUGACAAACUACGAAAGUGGUCUUCCGCAAGGACACUCGUAGAGGUGCUGCAUGGCUGUCGUCAGCUCGUGUCGUGAGAUGUUGGGUUAAGUCCCGCAACGAGCGCAACCCUUGUCUUCUGUUGCCAUCAGGUCAAGCUGGGCACUCUGGAGAGACUGCCGGUGAUAAACCGGAGGAAGGUGGGGAUGACGUCAAGUCAGCAUGGCCUUUAUGUCUGGGGCUACACACGUGCUACAAUGGCCGACUACAAACCGUCGCAAAGCCGCGAGGUGGAGCUAAUCGGAUAAAGUCGGUCUCUAGUUCGGAUAGCAGGCUGCUAACUCGCCUGCUUGAAGUUGGAAUCGCUAGAAUCGCGGAUCAGCACGCCGCGGUGAAUACGUUCCCGGGCUUGUACACACCGCCCGUCACAUCAUGAAGCCGCUGCAUAGAAGUCG